GAUGAACGCUAGCGGCAGGCCUAACACAUGCAAGUCGAGGGGUAGAACACUUCGGUGUUUGAGACCGGCGCACGGGUGCGUAACGCGUAUGCAAUCUACCUUAUACAGGGGAAUAGCCCAGAGAAAUUUGGAUUAAUGCCCCAUAGCAUUACGACUUGGCAUCAAGAUGUAAUUAAAGUUCCAACGGUAUAAGAUGAGCAUGCGUCCCAUUAGUUAGUUGGUAAGGUAACGGCUUACCAAGACGAUGAUGGGUAGGGGUCCUGAGAGGGAGAUCCCCCACGCUGGUACUGAGACACGGACCAGGCUCCUACGGGAGGCAGCAGUGAGGAAUAUUGGUCAAUGGUCGCAAGACUGAACCAGCCAUGCCGCGUGCAGGAAGACGGUCCUAUGGAUUGUAAACUGCUUUUAUACAGGAAGAAACCCUCCCACGUGUGGGAGCUUGACGGUACUGUAGGAAUAAGGAUCGGCUAACUCCGUGCCAGCCGCCGCAGUAA
rnacentral:rRNA from 1 species